GGUUAAGCGACUAAGCGUACACGGUGGAUGCCCUGGCAGUCAGAGGCGAUGAAGGACGUGCUAAUCUGCGAUAAGCGUCGGUAAGGUGAUAUGAACCGUUAUAACCGGCGAUUUCCGAAUGGGGAAACCCAGUGUGAUUCGUCACACUAUCAUUAACUGAAUCCAUAGGUUAAUGAGGCGAACCGGGGGAACUGAAACAUCUAAGUACCCCGAGGAAAAGAAAUCAACCGAGAUUCCCCCAGUAGCGGCGAGCGAACGGGGAGCAGCCCAGAGCCUGAAUCAGUGUGUGUGUUAGUGGAAGCGUCUGGAAAGGCGUGCGAUACAGGGUGACAGCCCCGUACACAAAAAUGCACAUAUUGUGAGCUCGAUGAGUAGGGCGGGACACGUGGUAUCCUGUCUGAAUAUGGGGGGACCAUCCUCCAAGGCUAAAUACUCCUGACUGACCGAUAGUGAACCAGUACCGUGAGGGAAAGGCGAAAAGAACCCCGGCGAGGGGAGUGAAAAAGAACCUGAAACCGUGUACGUACAAGCAGUGGGAGCACGCUUAGGCGUGUGACUGCGUACCUUUUGUAUAAUGGGUCAGCGACUUAUAUUCUGUAGCAAGGUUAACCGAAUAGGGGAGCCGAAGGGAAACCGAGUCUUAACUGGGCGUUAAGUUGCAGGGUAUAGACCCGAAACCCGGUGAUCUAGCCAUGGGCAGGUUGAAGGUUGGGUAACACUAACUGGAGGACCGAACCGACUAAUGUUGAAAAAUUAGCGGAUGACUUGUGGCUGGGGGUGAAAGGCCAAUCAAACCGGGAGAUAGCUGGUUCUCCCCGAAAGCUAUUUAGGUAGCGCCUCGUGAAUUCAUCUCCGGGGUAGAGCACUGUUUCGGCAAGGGGGUCAUCCCGACUUACCAACCCGAUGCAAACUGCGAAUACCGGAGAAUGUUAUCACGGGAGACACACGGCGGGUGCUAACGUCCGUCGUGAAGAGGGAAACAACCCAGACCGCCAGCUAAGGUCCCAAAGUCAUGGUUAAGUGGGAAACGAUGUGGGAAGGCCCAGACAGCCAGGAUGUUGGCUUAGAAGCAGCCAUCAUUUAAAGAAAGCGUAAUAGCUCACUGGUCGAGUCGGCCUGCGCGGAAGAUGUAACGGGGCUAAACCAUGCACCGAAGCUGCGGCAGCGACACUAUGUGUUGUUGGGUAGGGGAGCGUUCUGUAAGCCUGUGAAGGUGUACUGUGAGGUAUGCUGGAGGUAUCAGAAGUGCGAAUGCUGACAUAAGUAACGAUAAAGCGGGUGAAAAGCCCGCUCGCCGGAAGACCAAGGGUUCCUGUCCAACGUUAAUCGGGGCAGGGUGAGUCGACCCCUAAGGCGAGGCCGAAAGGCGUAGUCGAUGGGAAACAGGUUAAUAUUCCUGUACUUGGUGUUACUGCGAAGGGGGGACGGAGAAGGCUAUGUUGGCCGGGCGACGGUUGUCCCGGUUUAAGCGUGUAGGCUGGUUUUCCAGGCAAAUCCGGAAAACUAAGGCUGAGGCGUGAUGACGAGGCACUACGGUGCUGAAGCAACAAAUGCCCUGCUUCCAGGAAAAGCCUCUAAGCAUCAGGUAAUAUCAAAUCGUACCCCAAACCGACACAGGUGGUCAGGUAGAGAAUACCAAGGCGCUUGAGAGAACUCGGGUGAAGGAACUAGGCAAAAUGGUGCCGUAACUUCGGGAGAAGGCACGCUGAUAUGUAGGUGAAGUCCCUCGCGGAUGGAGCUGAAAUCAGUCGAAGAUACCAGCUGGCUGCAACUGUUUAUUAAAAACACAGCACUGUGCAAACACGAAAGUGGACGUAUACGGUGUGACGCCUGCCCGGUGCCGGAAGGUUAAUUGAUGGGGUCAGCGCAAGCGAAGCUCUUGAUCGAAGCCCCGGUAAACGGCGGCCGUAACUAUAACGGUCCUAAGGUAGCGAAAUUCCUUGUCGGGUAAGUUCCGACCUGCACGAAUGGCGUAAUGAUGGCCAGGCUGUCUCCACCCGAGACUCAGUGAAAUUGAACUCGCUGUGAAGAUGCAGUGUACCCGCGGCAAGACGGAAAGACCCCGUGAACCUUUACUAUAGCUUGACACUGAACAUUGAGCCUUGAUGUGUAGGAUAGGUGGGAGGCUUUGAAGUGUGGACGCCAGUCUGCAUGGAGCCGACCUUGAAAUACCACCCUUUAAUGUUUGAUGUUCUAACGUUGACCCGUGAUCCGGGUUGCGGACAGUGUCUGGUGGGUAGUUUGACUGGGGCGGUCUCCUCCUAAAGAGUAACGGAGGAGCACGAAGGUUGGCUAAUCCUGGUCGGACAUCAGGAGGUUAGUGCAAUGGCAUAAGCCAGCUUGACUGCGAGCGUGACGGCGCGAGCAGGUGCGAAAGCAGGUCAUAGUGAUCCGGUGGUUCUGAAUGGAAGGGCCAUCGCUCAACGGAUAAAAGGUACUCCGGGGAUAACAGGCUGAUACCGCCCAAGAGUUCAUAUCGACGGCGGUGUUUGGCACCUCGAUGUCGGCUCAUCACAUCCUGGGGCUGAAGUAGGUCCCAAGGGUAUGGCUGUUCGCCAUUUAAAGUGGUACGCGAGCUGGGUUUAGAACGUCGUGAGACAGUUCGGUCCCUAUCUGCCGUGGGCGCUGGAGAACUGAGGGGGGCUGCUCCUAGUACGAGAGGACCGGAGUGGACGCAUCACUGGUGUUCGGGUUGUCAUGCCAAUGGCACUGCCCGGUAGCUAAAUGCGGAAGAGAUAAGUGCUGAAAGCAUCUAAGCACGAAACUUGCCCCGAGAUGAGUUCUCCCUGACUCCUUGAGAGUCCUGAAGGAACGUUGAAGACGACGACGUUGAUAGGCCGGGUGUGUAAGCGCAGCGAUGCGUUGAGCUAACCGGUACUAAUGAACCGUGAGGCUUAACCUU
rnacentral:rRNA from 1 species